ACCCUGUGUGGAUGACGGUACCGGAAUAAGAAGCACCGGCUAACUACGUGCCAGCAGCCGCGGUAAUACGUAGGGUGCGAGCGUUAAUCGGAAUUACUGGGCGUAAAGCGUGCGCAGGCGGUUUGGUAAGUCAGAUGUGAAAUCCCCGGGCUCAACCUGGGAACUGCAUUUGAGACUGCCAAGCUGGAGUUUGGCAGAGGGGGGUGGAAUUCCACGUGUAGCAGUGAAAUGCGUAGAGAUGUGGAGGAACACCGAUGGCGAAGGCAGCCCCCUGGGCCAAUACUGACGCUCAUGCACGAAAGCGUGGGGAGCAAACAGGAUUAGAUACCCUGGUAGUCCACGCCCUAAACGAUGUCAACUAGGUGUUGGGAGGGUUAAACCUUUUAGUGCCGUAGCUAACGCGUGAAGUUGACCGCCUGGGGAGUACGGCCGCAAGGCUAAAACUCAAAGGAAUUGACGGGGACCGCACAAGCGGUGGAUGAUGUGGAUUAAUUCGAUGCAACGCGAAAAACCUUACCUACCUUGACAUGUCAGGAAUCCG
rnacentral:rRNA from 1 species